AGGAUGACAUGCUUGAUGUCGACUCCAUCCGUCAGAAAUUUUGGUCGAUGGAUAUUAAUAUCGUCACCGAUUUGUCACCUACAAAAUUAUACAAACACAUGAUAUUAUUAACAAAAAGUAUUAUUUAUAAUUAUGCCGAAAUAACUAGAAAACAACAAAAUAUAAAUACUUAUCUUCGAUUAUGAAGCCUGCGUAAAAAACUUGAUCUGGUAAAUGUUUAAGGUUGAGGCAUGUAAACACUGCCCUUAAGAUUAGAUUUCGCCCCUCGGAGACGUACAAUGUCUCUGUGUAAUAGGUUUAUAGCGCCCUACCCUCCAGGGUACAACAAUCAUUGAUCCUCGUAAGCGUACACUCGGAAUACUUGGAUCCUAGAGCCGCUUGAUAAUUUUCUUUGGCACUUGAAAGAUGAAUAAGAGAGCAUAUGACCAAGUAGAAUGAGAGGACCAAUGAGGAGAAUGUUUUGGUGAUAAUGUACAACUGUUAUCUAUAUCAUGGCCAUAAGGCGGGGAUAUAUAUAUAUAUAUAUAUAGCUCAACAAAAAAGAUUGGUUACAAAUCAUGAUGAUCAUAACUUUGGUCUUUGUAAUGGACAAGAAAGAGUUAAUAUGUGAUACAAUUGUAAUGGAUAUAUUUAUGGAAUGAAGGUUAUGUUGGAAAUCAAAGCACCAAUUAAUUGACUACAAUUAAACUCAAUAAAUAAUUUUUGUAUUUUGAAAUAUCACAUCAAAAAUUCCAAUAAUCCCUCACAUAUUUCAAAAUGCAAAAAUUCGAAUAAAAUGAGAGAAACGAAAGAGUGCCAAAGGUAAGCGAGAGUACAAUGCAUCUGAACUGGUGUCUUUUCGACUAUGAACCAGUCAUAGGAUAAGAUAGCCAUCACACACAAAAAUUUGGUGAAAAUAAUUUUUUUUAUGAACCAUAAUUUCUCGAUGUGCAUCAGAGAGUUACUAUCCACAUUGAACCGCAAAUUUGUCCUGCGAAUGGGCAUGAAUAGGCCAUGCACCCCUACCUGGAUAUUCAUGAGUGCUCUAGAAGGCUUGCCCAAGUCUCAUAGGAAACGGCCCAACUUCCACACUCAUAUAGGUGAGUCCAUCAAGUGUGUAUUGGAAUCGGACACACCACCCAAAUUUUGGGCUAUGGAAUUCAUUAAGAACAUAUGUUUAACCUUUACACAUUGCAGUUAACGCAUUAUCUAUUUUCACCAUAAGGAGAGACUAUCAAUAAUUUAUUUGAUAGUGCACCACUGACCAACAAGUGACUUGUUUCUACCCAUAUGAACCUACUUCAUAGGAUCUCCAAUCACAUAGGUUGGGUUACCAUCACUCCUGAUCUUUGUUUAUAAACAUAAGCCCCAUCCCCCUUGAUGUAUCACUCACUAGCUUUCGGCCUAGUGGUUUUGUUAAAGGGUCUGCUAAAUUCAACUUAGAUUUCACAAAGUCAAUAGAUAUGACUCCAUUCUCAAGCAAUUGCUUCACAAUAUUAUGCUUUAGGCGUAUGUGCCUAUUUUUCCCAUUAUAUGUUUUAUUUUUAGCUCUAGCUAUAGCAACUUGGCUAUCACAAUGCAUAGACACAGAAAAAGUUGGUCUGUCAAGAGGUUUCUAAGCCACUCAGCCUCUAAACUGGCCUUAUCUUUUUCUUUUUUUUGGCGAAAAACUUGCCUUCUCUAAGGCCACAAACUCAGAUUCCAUAGUGGACCGAGUUAUCACCGUUUGCUUGGAGGUUUUCCAAGAUAUUGCACCUCCAUCAAGAGUAAAUACAUGGUAGAUUUAAUUUCAUCUGAAUCAGAGAUCCAAUUCGCGUCACAAUACCCUUCUAGUACCUCAGGAAAUCCACCAUAUCUCAAUUCAUAAUUAAGAGUACCUUUUAAAUAUUUUAGUACUCUUGAAAUAGCAUUCCAGUGGUCCUUGUUCGGACUUUGAGUGUACCUGCUCAAUCUCCCAACUGCAUAAGAAAUAUCUGGUCUUGUGCAAAUUGCAAGAUACAUCAAGCUACCAAUAAUUCGAGCAUAUUCAAAUUGAGAAAAACAUUCACCAUUAUUUUUCUUUAAUUGAAUACUAGCAUAAUAAGGUGUUGCUACUGAAUUAUAAUCAAAGUGACAAAACCUUCUUAAUACAAACCUUCUUAAUCAGAAACAUUCAGUACAAUCAAAUCUUGAUUGCAAUACCCUUUCCCCACAAAUUGACCAUUUUUAGUCGGAACAAUCUUAUCAAAUUCAAAAACAACCCUUACCCCCACUUUACCAAGUAAAGCAACAGAGACAAGAUUAUGACGAAUUUCUAGAACAUAAAGAACAUCACCAAGAAGGGUUUUACCAGAGGUUAGUUUGAGAAGCACUUUCCCUUUGCCCAUAACUGGGGUAGGCCUUGAGUCACCCAUAAGGACGACCUCCUCACCUUCUUUUAUUGGAAUAAAUGAGACAAAGGCACUCCUAUUAGCACAGAUGUGCCUUGUCUACCACCCAAUCUUUGGCACUAGUCACCACAUUAACUUCAGAAAUGACCGCAACAAUGACUUCAUCAUCUGAUUCUACCAAGUUAGCACGAGCAGGUGGGUUGUUGCCCUUCCUUCUAUUGCUUUCAUUUGCGUGGUGUCCUGGUUUUCCACAAACAAAACAACUCCCCUUCUUUUUGAAAUUUGUGUUGUAAGUAGGCUUCAUAUUCUUAACAAGCUUGUGGUGAGAUUUGUUGUCACGCUUGGUGAAAGAUUUGUAACUAGAAUUGUAAUUUUUACCUUUCAACUUACCCUCCUCGAUCACAUUAGCUUUCACCUUCAUUUCAUCAACUUGAGUAGCUCUAUCUUAUACACGGUUCGUUUCCUCAAUUCGAAUAUGCACAACAACAUCUUCUAGGCUCAUAUGCUUCUUUUUGUGCUUCAUGUUGUUCUUGUAGUCCUUCCAUGAUUCGGGUAGUUUUUCAAUGAGGCUUCCGGACACAAAUGCUUCAGUUUAACUCAAUGCCUUCAGUCUUCAAAUCAUCGAAAAUCUUGUGAAACUCAUGAAUUUGAAGUGAAACAUCUCUGUCUUCCACCAUCUGAAAUUUCAGAAAAUUCCCAAUUGCAUAGUUCUGGCUUCCGGCAUCUUCAGUCGCAUACUUUUUGUUGAGAACCUCCCAUAUUUCAGCAGCGAUCUUGUAGGUAUAGUAGAUAUCAAAAAGCUCAUUUGAAAGUGUACGUGCUCAGAAUGGUAUGCCUACAGACCUUGUUACCUUUCUCUCACUUGGCCAAUGAGUUGUCAUAGUCCUCACUUCCUUCCUUGGGCUUGGCCUUGGUGAGAUAAUCUGCAUAGUUCAUGACAUCAAGAGAAGAGAAGACCCUUUCUUGCCAUCUUUUGAAGGACGAGCCGUUGAAAACAUCGAUCUUGGACACAUCUGGGAUUUUGGUCAAAGCAGCAUCCAUGAAUUUUACUAUUAAGAUUGUUGGAAAUUUUGGUCAAUGGAUGUUAAUAUCGCCACCGAAUUUUGUCACAUACAAAAUCAUACAAAUACAUGAUAUUAUUAACAAAUAAUAUUACUUAUAAUUAUGCCGAAAUAACUAAAAAACAACAAAAUAUAAAUACUUAUCUUCGAUUAUGUAGCCUGCGUCAAAAACUUAAUAUGAUAAAUGUUUAAGGUUGAGGCGUGUAAACACUGCCCUUAAGAAUAGAUUUCACCCCUCGGAGACAAUAUCUCAGUGUAAUAGGUUUAUGACGCCCUACCCUUCAGGAUAUAACAACCGUUGAUCCUUGUAAGCGUACACUCGCAAUACUUGGAUCUUAGAACCGCUUGAUAAAUUCCUUUUGCACUUUUGCACUUGAAAGAUGAAUAAGAGAGCAUAUGACCAAGUAGAAUGAGAGGACCAAUGAGGAGAAUGUUUUGGUGAUAAUGUACAACUGUUAUCUAUAUCAUGGCCAUGAGGCGGGGAUAUAUAUAUAUAUACACACGAAAACGAUAGAAAGCGCACGUGCGAACAAUCCUUAAAGUGCGCACGGAGCUCCGUUCGCCACCAUCCGGCACCGAAUUCCAGUUUUCGGUGAGAUAGACUUUAUUUGAAGUUUUGGGUGAUCUCGCCAGAAAACUGGAAAAGAACGGACUCGUCGGGGAGGGAAAGUGGUCGGGGAUGCUGCUUGAGUCUUCUUGGGGGGAGGCGCGCCGUCGUCGGCGAUGAACUGUGGCGAACGGAGGGACGUGCACACUUUAAGCCAGUGCGGACGUGCGCUCCACAUCCGGCCUAAUAUAUAUAUAUAUAUAUAUAUAUAUAUAUAUAUAUAUAU
rnacentral:lncRNA from 1 species